rnacentral:misc_RNA from 1 species
GGAUGAAGAACGCAGCGAAAUGCGAUACGUAAUGUGAAUUGCAGAAUUCAGUGAGUCAUCGAGUCUUUGAACGCACAUUGCGCCCCCUGGUAUUCCGGGGGGCAUGCCUGUCCGAGCGUCAUUGCUGCCCUCAAGCACGGCUUGUGUGUUGGGCCUCCGUCCUCCUCCCGGGGGACGGGCCCGAAAGGCAGCGGCGGCACCGCGUCCGGUCCUCGAGCGUAUGGGGCUUCGUCACCCGCUCUUGUAGGCCCGGCCGGCGCUUGCCGACACAUCAAUCUUUUUUCCAGGUUGACCUCGGAUCAGGUAGGGAUACCCGCUGAACUUAAGCAUAUCAAUAAGCGGAGGA